GACGAACGCUGGCGGCGUGCUUAACACAUGCAAGUCGAACGGAAAGGCCCUGCUUUUGUGGGGUGCUCGAGUGGCGAACGGGUGAGUAACACGUGAGUAACCUGCCCUUGACUUUGGGAUAACUUCAGGAAACUGGGGCUAAUACCGGAUAGGAGCUCCUGCUGCAUGGUGGGGGUUGGAAAGUUUCGGCGGUUGGGGAUGGACUCGCGGCUUAUCAGCUUGUUGGUGGGGUAGUGGCUUACCAAGGCUUUGACAGGUAGCCGGCCUGAGAGGGUGACCGGCCACAUUGGGACUGAGAUACGGCCCAGACUCCUACGGGAGGCAGCAGUGGGGAAUAUUGCACAAUGGGCGGAAGCCUGAUGCAGCAACGCCGCGUGCGGGAUGACGGCCUUCGGGUUGUAAACCGCUUUCGCCUGUGACGAAGCGUGAGUGGCGGUAAUGGGUAAAGAAGCACCGGCUAACUACGUG
rnacentral:rRNA from 1 species